ensembl:lncRNA
CCGGUGUGAAAUGGAAGCUGGGCUGGGAUGUGGGCGGCCCAGUGAGAGGACAAGAGGGGGAUAGGAGGCUCCUCCUCAUCGGCCUAAGAUGGGAUGGCAUGGACCCAACUCAUGCAAAGGAAUUUCUGGCCCGCUGGUGGACCCAUAAUGCAUCCAUGGUUGUGGGACAUCACAUCAGGGGAUUUUAUUUAGUGACCGAGUCCUGGGUGGUGUUUUCCUUAUUUAAAAUGUGCAGUGUUGGCAAGAUUGCCAGUCUUCUAGCUUGCUUACUUGCCACAAGUGCACUGUGCCACCUACCAACAGAAAGGAAAAAAUAAUGUGCACAUUUCCACGAGAGAAAUCCCACGCCUGGACCGUCGUUGACCGCCGCCAUGAUUCUAG